rnacentral:rRNA from 1 species
CCUACGGGUGGCAGCAGUGAGGAAUAUUGGUCAAUGGACGAGAGCCUGAACCAGCCAAGUAGCGUGAAGGAUGACUGCCCUAUGGGUUGUAAACUUCUUUUAUAUGGGAAUAAAAUGCUCUACGUGUGGGAUUUUGUAUGUACCAUAUGAAUAAGGAUCGGCUAACUCCGUGCCAGCAGCCGCGGUAAUACGGAGGAUCCGAGCGUUAUCCGGAUUUAUUGGGUUUAAAGGGAGCGUAGGUGGAUUGUUAAGUCAGUUGUGAAAGUUUGCGGCUCAACCGUAAAAUUGCAGUUGAGACUGGCAGUCUUGAGUACAGUAGAGGUAGGCGGAAUUCGUGGUGUAGCGGUGAAAUGCUUAGAUAUCACGAAGAACUCCGAUUGCGAAGGCAGCUCACUGGACUGCAACUGACACUGAGGCUCGAAAGUGUGGGUAUCAAACAGGAUUAGAUACCCGUGUAGUC